UACGUAGGGUGCGAGCGUUGUCCGGAAUUAUUGGGCGUAAAGAGCUCGUAGGCGGCUUGUCGCGUCGGAUGUGAAAGCCCGGGGCUUAACUCCGGGUCUGCAUUCGAUACGGGCAGGCUAGAGUUCGGUAGGGGAGAUCGGAAUUCCUGGUGUAGCGGUGAAAUGCGCAGAUAUCAGGGAGAACGACCGGUAGGCGGAAGGCGGAUCUGCUGGGCCGAUACUGACGCUGAGGAAGCGAAAGGCGU
rnacentral:rRNA from 1 species